CCUACGGGAGGCAGCAGUGAGGAAUAUUGAUCAAUGGACGCAAGUCUGAACCAGCCAUGCCGCGUGCAGGAAGACGGCUCUAUGAGUUGUAAACUGCUUUUGUACGAGGGUAAAUCCCGAUACGUGUAUCGUGUUGAAAGUAUCGUACGAAUAAGGAUCGGCUAACUCCGUGCCAGCAGCCGCGGUAAUACGGAGGAUUCAAGCGUUAUCCGGAUUUAUUGGGUUUAAAGGGUGCGUAGGCGGUUCGAUAAGUUAGAGGUGAAAUCCCGGGGCUCAACUCCGGCACUGCCUCUGAUACUGUCGGGCUAGAGUUUAGUUGCGGUAGGCGGAAUGUAUGGUGUAGCGGUGAAAUGCAUAGAGAUCAUACAGAACACCGAUUGCGAAGGCAGCUUACCAAACUACGACUGACGUUGAGGCACGAAAGCGUGGGGAGCAAACAGGAUUAGAUACCCGUGUAGUC
rnacentral:rRNA from 1 species